rnacentral:misc_RNA from 1 species
GAAAUGCGAUAAGUAAUGUGAAUUGCAGAAUUCCGUGAAUCAUCGAAUCUUUGAUCGCACAUUGCGCCCUCUGGUAUUCCGGGGGGCAUGCCUGUCCGAGCGUCAUUGCUGCCCUCAAGCACGGCUUGUGUGUUGGGCUUCCGUCCCUGGCAACGGGGACGGGCCCAAAAGGCAGUGGCGGCACCAUGUCUGGUCCUCGAGCGUAUGGGGCUUUGUCACCCGCUCCCGUAGGUCCAGCUGGCAGCUAGCCUCGCAACCAAUCUUUUUAACCAGGUUGACCUCGGAUCAGGUAGGGAUACCCGCUGAACUUAAGC